UACGGGGGGGGCAAGCGUUGUUCGGAAUUACUGGGCGUAAAGGGCUCGUAGGCGGCCAACUAAGUCAGACGUGAAAUCCCUCGGCUUAACCGGGGAACUGCGUCUGAUACUGGAUGGCUUGAGGUUGGGAGAGGGAUGCGGAAUUCCAGGUGUAGCGGUGAAAUGCGCAGAUAUCAGGAGGAACACCGGUGGCGAAGGCGGGUCUCUGGGCCGAUACUGACGCUGAGGCACGAAAGCGUGGGGAGCAAACAGG
rnacentral:rRNA from 1 species